GGUCCCCACCCCACCCUUCAAAACCACCCACUCAUUGCCUCAGCUUAUUGGAGUGUGUGUGUGUGUGUGUGUGUGUGUGUGUGUGUGUGUGUGUGUGU